GAUAUUUCUGAGUGACAACCUGAUCGGGACGUUCCGGAACAUUGGUGACACGUCAGGACACGGUGAGGAUCACUGUGAGCUUGUUGGAGCUUCAUCAGAUCCUCCGUCCUCGUCACUGGAUCCGGAUUAUCGCACCUGUAGUGGAACAGGUUAUUGGCGCUCUUAUCGUGGACGCGAUUUUAUGUAUGGAUCAAUCGGUUAUAAUUCCGGAUCCGGAUGGUGGAGUAGUAGUCGACGGUCUUAUGGACGCUGGUACAGAUGUGGUGUUACUAUCCCUGAAGGUCGUAACGAAAGUGACUGGAAUUGUCAAUUUAGUACAGAUCAGUGCAACUCCAUUACGCGUGGUACAGGUUCAUUUGAAUGGAGACGAAGGGCUUAUAGUACUCCAUCAUCGUC